AGCCGGGGACGACCCCGAUUCCGCUCACAAUACCAGCCGGGACGACCCGA
rnacentral:ncRNA from 1 species